UACGUAGGGAGCGAGCGUUGUCCGGAUUCAUUGGGCGUAAAGAGCUCGUAGGCGGCUUGGCAAGUCGGGUGUGAAAACUCCAGGCUCAACCUGGAGACGCCACCCGAUACUGCCAUGGCUAGAGUCCGGUAGGGGACCACGGAAUUCCUGGUGUAGCGGUGAAAUGCGCAGAUAUCAGGAGGAACACCGGUGGCGAAGGCGGCGGUCUGGGCCGGAACUGACGCUGAGGAGCGAAAGCGUGGGGAGCAAACAGG
rnacentral:rRNA from 1 species